rnacentral:rRNA from 1 species
GACGAACGCUGGCGGCGUGCUUAACACAUGCAAGUCGAACGAUGAAGCAGAGACACGCGAACUUCGGUUCAAAUGUCACUUCGGAAUAGUGGCAGACGGGAGAGUAACGCGUGAGCAACCUACCUCUUACAAAGGGAUAGCAUCGGGAAACCGUGAUUAAUACCAUAUGACACAUUCAUAAGGCAUCUUAAGAAUGUUAAAGCUACGGCGGUAAGGGAUGGGCUCGCGUCCCAUUAGCUAGUUGGUGAGGUAACGGCCCACCAAGGCGACGAUGGGUAACCGGCCUGAGAGGGUGAGCGGUCACAUUGGAACUGAGACACGGUCCAAACUCCUACGGGAGGCAGCAGUGGGGAAUAUUGCACAAUGGAGGGAACUCUGAUGCAGCGACGCCGCGUGAGCGAUGAAGGAAUUCGUUUCGUAAAGCUCUGUUCUAUGGGAAGAAAAGGACUGUACCAUAGGAGAAAGCCCCGGCUAACUACGUG